rnacentral:rRNA from 1 species
AACACGUGGGUAACCUGCCUGUAAGACUGGGAUAACUCCGGGAAACCGGGGCUAAUACCGGAUGACACCUACCCCCGCAUGGGGCAAGGUUGAAAGGUGGCUUCGGCUAUCACUUACAGAUGGACCCGCGGCGCAUUAGCUAGUUGGUGAGGUAAUGGCUCACCAAGGCGACGAUGCGUAGCCGACCUGAGAGGGUGAUCGGCCACACUGGGACUGAGACACGGCCCAGACUCCUACGGGAGGCAGCAGUAGGGAAUCUUCCGCAAUGGACGAAAGUCUGACGGAGCAACGCCGCGUGAGUGAAGAAGGUUUUCGGAUCGUAAAACUCUGUUGU